rnacentral:lncRNA from 1 species
AUGUCCCUGAGGCAAGGAAGCCUGAGAUAACCACCUGGAGGAGAGCUGAGGUGUCAGACACCCAAGUGAUCCCUUCUUAGACCUUCCUGCCAGUCACCAGGUGAAUGACCACAGCCAACAGUGUGUGGAACAGAAAAGUUACCCGACAGAGCCUUGUCAAAUUGCUGACCCACAGAAUCAUAAGCAAAAAAAGAUGGUUGAUUUAAGCCAGGGAGGGUUAGGGUGAUUUGUUAUCUCAUAAUGGAUGACUGAAACACACAGUGAAAGCUAAGGGACUGCACCACAUAGCAACAACAACAGGAUCCUGAUGACUAAAGCUUUUUAUGUCAUUCAAAUAGUCGAAACUCUGCUAAGGCAGGAGCAAAGCCCGGAAAAACUCCUGGAUUCCAGGUUCUGCCUGGCCGGCCAGGCCACAGCGAAGUCCAAGAUGUUUCCACGUGGCUCCUGCAACACCUGACUUCAGUUGUCUCAGCACCUGCUGGUGCUUGGAAGCCCAGAGUGAACACUGGGAGGAAACAGGGGAAAGGGGGUCCUGGCAAGAAUGAGGGUCUGCACCGCCAAGCCCUGGAAAACUGUGCUGUGAGGCUCCCCUAUCCCACCCGGCCUCCUCCCUGCACAUUCUGGGGGAGCAAAUGCAGCUCCUCAUCUAUUUAUUUUAUAAAGUGCUGCCCUCUGUUGUAAUUAUCCGAGGGAGUCACAGAGUACACAAUUUUUUUUUUUUGGUACAGGGGAUCGAACUUGGGUCCUUGCGCUUGUGAGGCAGGCAGUGGAACCACUGAGCUAAAUCCCCAGUCCCAGAGUACACAAUUUUUUUUUUUUUGGUACAGGGGAUCGAACUUGGGUCCUUGCGCUUGUGAGGCAGGCAGUGGAACCACUGAGCUAAAUCCCCAGUCCCAGAGUACACAAUUUUAAAACAAUUAAAAGAUGUAAAACAGAGGAUUGGCAAUGAUGGCAGUUUUUAAAAAUUGGCACUAGAACGUCACUUUGAGGCUCGCCUGUGGCUCUGAAGAUCACCUGUCCUGCCCAGCUCUGUCAGUGGAGAGGCUUUUCCUCUAGGCUCUGUGAGCUGUUUGCUCAGGAGCUGCCGCUCUAGUCACCUUCUCUAAGUGUCCCACAGAGGGGACCAGCUUAGGAGCCAUCACUAGUGACCAGCUGAUAAUACGGAUCAUCAUCAUCAUCAUGAGAGCUUAUCUUUCUUUGGCAGUGCUGGGGAUUGAACUCAAGGCCUUGUACAUAGUAGGCAAGCACUCUGCCACCCAGACCUUUUAAUUUUGUUUUGAGACAGGGUCAAGUUAAGGUGUCCAGACUAGCCUUGAACUUGGAAUCUUCUUGCAUCAGCCUCCCAAGUACCUGGGAUUGCAGGCAGGCAUCCACUGUGCCCAUUUGAGAGUUAAUCUUGAUGACGGCUUCUGCUCUGUAAAGGGAGGUGUAGUAGCUCAUUGCUUAGGUCUCUGCAGCUCUGAAAGAUGUAUAGUUAGAAUCAGAGGCCAGGAUGGGAGGCCAAGGCAACCAC